AGAUGAUGAUGAUGAUGAUAAUGAUGAUGAUGAUAAUGAUGAUCACGAUCAUGAUCCUGAUCAUCAUUAUCAUCAUCAUAAUUAUCAUCGAUGACA
rnacentral:pre_miRNA from 1 species